ACGGAAGGCAGCAGUGGGGAAUAUUGGACAAUGGGGGAAACCCUGAUCCAGCGACGCCGCGUGAGUGAAGAAGUGUUUCGGUAUGUAAAGCUCUAUCAGCAAGGAAGAAAAUGACGGUACUUGACUAAGAAGCUCCGGCUAAAUACGUGCCAGCAGCCGCGGUAAUACGUAUGGAGUAAGCGUUAUCCGGAUUUACUGGGUGUAAAGGGAGCGUAGACGGCAAAGCAAGUCUGAAGUGAAAUCCCGGGGCUCAACCCCGGAACUGCUUUGGAAACUGUUUAGCUAGAGUGCAGGAGAGGUAAGCGGAAUUCCUAGUGUAGCGGUGAAAUGCGUAGAUAUUAGGAGGAACACCAGUGGCGAAGGCGGCUUACUGGACUGUAACUGACGUUGAGGCUCGAAAGCGUGGGGAGCAGACAGGAUUAGAUACCCUGGUA
rnacentral:rRNA from 1 species